rfam:Drosophila simulans chromosome 2R, whole genome shotgun sequence.
UUAAAAUUGAAUGGCGAAUGUCGGUAUGGUCUCUUUUUCCAAAGAAAGGUUUCGAUCAAGCGAAGUGACUAGACCGAACACUCGUGCUAUAAUUUUAAAA